AUACGUAGGUGGCAAGCGUUGUCCGGAAUUAUUGGGCGUAAAGCGCGCGCAGGCGGCUUCUUAAGUCUGAUGUGAAAGCCCACGGCUCAACCGUGGAGGGUCAUUGGAAACUGGGAGGCUUGAGUGCAGAAGAGGAGAGCGGAAUUCCACGUGUAGCGGUGAAAUGCGUAGAGAUGUGGAGGAACACCAGUGGCGAAGGCGGCUCUCUGGUCUGUAACUGACGCUGAGGCGCGAAAGCGUGGGUAGCGAACAGGAUUAGAUACCCUGGUAGUCCACGCCGUAAACGAUGAGUGCUAAGUGUUAGAGGGUUUCCGCCCUUUAGUGCUGCAGCAAACGCAUUAAGCACUCCGCCUGGGGAGUACGGCCGCAAGGCUGAA
rnacentral:rRNA from 1 species